CUCCGUAAGGGGUAAAAAAAUUGAUAAAAAUAUUGGAAAGUAAGUUGAGUAAGGCAAUUGAGAUCAUUAUGGAGCAUUCUGGAGUGAAACUUUCAUGCCCAAGCCAUGAAAGAGGAGUCAAUUCACGCCUUGGGACAUAAAACUUGUGGCAACUUGAAGAAAAAUGAAGAAAAAUGCAUGAAAUGGUGGCAUAUGAGGAUUCACACCUAGGGCAUGAAAAUUACCAUCACGCAUGCUCAGGGGUGAGAAAUUGAUAAGGCAGACUUUCUCCCCUAACAAACCUAACAUGUGGAUUGGAGGAAAGGAGAUAUCAGAACCAUUUUUGGAUGAUUCGAAAAACUCUGCACACCAAAUUUCUCCCAAAAACACGCAAACACUUUCUAGAUUUCUAUCUUGGAAAUGGAAGUAGAUUCAAGCCUUUUGGGUAGAUUUCUAGACACUUUGGCUCUUGGAGGGGGAUUAUACACAUCAUCUAUUAUAGGGUUACAGGAGAAUUUAUUCUUGUGUUUAACCUGCUUCCUACCUCGCAGGUCUACUAGCUAUUGUUUCCGUUUUUUGUAUUGUUAAAUUUAAAUUCUAGAUCUCUACAUGUGUAAAACUAUUUUACUUAGCUUGAGAUUAUAAGAUUAAUUAUUUUGAAAUUGUAAA